UACGGAGGGGGCAAGCGUUGUUCGGAAUUACUGGGCGUAAAGGGCGCGUAGGCGGUUCGCUAAGUUGGAUGUGAAAACUCUGGGCUCAACCCAGAGCCUGCAUCCAAAACUGGCGGGCUAGAGUUCUGGAGGGGGUAGCGGAAUUCCUGGUGUAGCGGUGAAAUGCGUAGAUAUCAGGAGGAACACCGGUGGCGAAGGCGGCUACCUGGACAGAAACUGACGCUGAGGCGCGAAAGCUAGGGGAGCAAACAGG
rnacentral:rRNA from 1 species